UUGGACAUAGUGCAAUGGAUAACACGGCCUCGUGAUCUCUCCCAUGGUUCCGGGAUGAGAGGCAGAUCAAGGUUCGAUUCCUUGUGUUCGCA